rnacentral:rRNA from 1 species
AUUGAACGCUGGCGGCAGGCCUAACACAUGCAAGUCGAGCGGAUGAAGGGAGCUUGCUCCUGGAUUCAGCGGCGGACGGGUGAGUAAUGCCUAGGAAUCUGCCUGGUAGUGGGGGAUAACGUCCGGAAACGGGCGCUAAUACCGCAUACGUCCUGAGGGAGAGAGUGGGGGAUCUUCGGACCUCACGCUAUCAGAUGAGCCUAGGUCGGAUUAGCUAGUUGGUGGGGUAAAGGCCUACCAAGGCGACGAUCCGUAACUGGUCUGAGAGGAUGAUCAGUCACACUGGAACUGAGACACGGUCCAGACUCCUACGGGAGGCAGCAGUGGGGAAUAUUGGACAAUGGGCGAAAGCCUGAUCCAGCCAUGCCGCGUGUGUGAAGAAGGUCUUCGGAUUGUAAAGCACUUUAAGUUGGGAGGAAGGGCAGUAAGUUAAUACCUUGCCGUUUUGACGUUACCAACAGAAUAAGCACCGGCUAACUUCGUG